AGCCUGGUGGCGGAUGGUCUGCGCCCACACCUAAUAUCAUUUGAUGAAGCCGGAAAAUGCAAGUGGGGUCCCUCGUUCGAAUCGGGGUCAGGCUG